AAGGAUCAUUAGUGAACAAACCGGUGUGGCUAAGUUUGCUGGCCUUUUCGGAGGCAUGUGCACGGCCCGCCAUUGUUUCAUCCUUCUCCACCUGUGCACUUCUGUGGGUCCACUCCAGCACACUGUGUGUGCUGGACUCUGGUACCUACGUUUUCACUACCCACACAAUUGAAUGUUCAGAAUGUAUGUAUCGGGCAUUCUUGCCCAUAAAACCUUAUACAACUUUCAACAACGGAUCUCUUGGCUCUC
rnacentral:misc_RNA from 1 species